UCAACCAAGAAGAGAUAAACC
rnacentral:piRNA from 1 species